ensembl:antisense
AUAUGCAGACCACGCCUACCUUCUUGCAAGCUGAGGCUCUUAGCCGCCGACAUGGUCUCAAGGCACUGGCUGGCUGUCCUGAAACUCACUAUGAAUACCAGACUGACCUCGAACUCACAGAUCCACCUGCCUCUGCUUCCCAAGAGCUAGGAUUAAAAGCCUGUCUUCCAGAAGAUUACACUCAGGCUUGGCAGCAAGCACCUGUACCCACUGAGCCCAUCUGACUGGCCCCUCUGCUAGGUUUCAUCAUCAUCAUCAUCAUCAUCAUCUUCAUCAUCAUCAUCAUCAUCGAGGACUGACUCCAAGAUCUUGUGCAUAUUAGGCUUCCAGGUGGGGAUACCAAGGCCCAGAGAAGCCGGGACAUGCCUUCUUGGCACCCUAACCUGUGGACACCCACCUCAGCGCUGCGGCUCCUGGCCUCCAUAGUUCUGCAGAGAGUCACCUGGGACUCAGGCUCCCGUGUCCCCUCUUCCUUCUGCUGCAGGACCAGCUUCAGCUCCUCAUGGAGCAGCUGCCGCUGAGCCUGGGGGUACAAGAUGGAGGCCUGAGGCAAGGAGGGAUUGUGGGGUAGAGAUGGGGCUUGCCAGAGAAGUCAAGUGCAGGGAUGGCAUCAGGAGGGCAGAAAGUAGGGCCCCUCACCGCUUCCUGAGUGAUGGCCUUUUCUCCUGACAGGAGCCCCACUCCGGGUGAUGCACAGCUGUAAACGGGAAUCUUACUCUUCCUUUGAGGUCUUGCUGCCUGCCAAGGAGAGACAAGGGGCGUGGGACAUCAGACAGACCCAGGGAAGAUAGAGAGGGGCAUGUGGAACCAGCCAGCUCUCACCUGAGGGUCACUUCCAGCUCCCUGGGCCUCCUGGGUCUGGGGCUCUAGGAAGAACAACACACACAGUAGUAUUCCUUCAUAUCCCCUGUGCUCAUUCUGACAAUUCUCUGUGCUCAAGUGCCUUAUGGUUACUUCCCAGGCCAGCCUGGACAGCCUCCAAAGUGAGGCUGCCUCAAAAGCCUGCAUGCAGAGCCAGGAACGCUAGCCUAGUACACACUGGCGGUCCCAUCAUGCCUGGUUUGUUCUGUGCUAGCGAGUCAAUCCCAGGGUUUUGCGAAUGUGAAGCUACGUUUUUUACCACCUGAGCUACAUUCCCAGUCCUUGCUUUGAGUUUGAGACAGGGUCUUCGAACAUGUUAACCUCAAAUUCUCUAUGUAGCUGAAGAUGACUUUGAACUAUUGCCCUCCUCCCACCCCAUUUCAGCCUCCCAAAUACUGGGGUUACAGGCAUAACUGUCUUUAGUUUACCAGACAGCUACUUUACUGAAAAUAUGCCGUCUCAGAGAAGCCAAGCAAAUUUGUACUGGUGUGGCGCACACAACCCAAGAAGAAGGCACAGAGAAGGCAGCCUCCAGCUUGGCCUCAACCUGGCAUGCCAGCCCGCCAACCCCUGCCACACAGGAAAAGGUCAGGCUCAUGAGGCACAUUCCCUCACACAAUGGCCCAUCGCAGUCACAUUCUGCCCCUGCCCACACGCCCACCCACCCACUGCCAUACAAUGGCCCUUCAUAGCUCAAUCCUGGGGCAAAGGAGCUUAGUUGGUAGAGUGCUUGCCUAGCAUGCACAAAGGCCCUGGGUUCAGUUCCCCAGAACUUCCUAAAAUAGGCAUGGUAGCACACAACCAUAAUCCCAGUAUUUGGCAGGUUGAGACAGGAAGAUCAAACAGUUCAAGGCCAUUCUUAGCUCCUUAGGCCAUUGCAUGAAAUGGAUCUAUGAACACAACAAACUUAGGCCACAAUUGGCCAAACUAGACAACCCCCUGGACGCAUCCACACAUGCUGUAACCACACCCCGUCAGGCCCACCACUGGCCCCAGUGUCUGAAGGCUCCUGUCAGCAACUCCUAGGAAUCCUAGAUUCUGCGUCUAAGCCCAGCCUCCCUUGUGAACCCUUUUGGCUACUGCACACAAGCUGAACACCUCUCCUAAGAUGGCUUCCCUGUGAACCAGGCCCUGCGAGGGCUACCACAGGCUCGGUGAGAAGUUUCCUGUCCAGAGUCGCAUGGCCAGGAUGAGGCAGAGAAGAGACCUGUGCCCUGACCUCUGUUCUAUACCUAACUCACAAUGGCAAGGCCUAAUUUGUGGAGCUACUGGGAGAGAGUUGAGAUGAGCAAGAGGAGUCAAACUGAAUAAAUUCUAGAGGACCUCGUCAGUGCCAGGCCUGGCCAUGGGACCCUAUUUUGCUGACAAGUAAAGGAAAGUUAAAGACAGACUGUCAUAAACUGGGUGUGGUCAGAGUCUCCUGUAAUCAAAUAGGAUUAUGAGUUAAAAUGUAGCCUGAGCUACAGGAGACCCUGUCUCAAAAAUACUGAAAAAAAUACUGGAAGGCAGGAAGAUUUAUGGUUUAUGUAUAACCUGGGCUACAUAACAUGUUCUGGCUUCACCCUGGGCUACAGCAUGUGACCAUC